AGACGAUAUGAUAAGGAAUGUUGUCCUUAUGCACACCAGUGGGAUUCAAACACUAAUUCUUGUACAGCUUGCAGAUCUGGAUACUUCGGUCUGCACUGUGAUAUAAAAUGUCCAUAUCCAUCUUAUGGCUACCUCUGUCAAAGUAAAUGCAACUGCAACAAAGAGAAAUGCAGACCAGCAUAUGGAUGCCUGAAUUUAAAAAAUCCUGCGUUAGAAGGAUAUAAAGCUGGCUAUCCUGGACCAAGAGGAAAACAUGAGUGUAGAUAUCCAAAUUAUGGUGCCAACUGCCAAAAUAUAUGCAAUUGCAACCCAG